rnacentral:rRNA from 1 species
AGAGUUUGAUCCUGGCUCAGAACGAACGCUGGCGGCGUGCCUAACACAUGCAAGUCGAACGAGAAAUCGGGCACUCAGGCAACUGAGCGCCGGAGAGUACAGUGGCGCACGGGUGAGUAACGCGUGGGUAACCUGCCCCUGAAUUUGGAAUAACCCGCCGAAAGGCGGACUAAUACCGGAUACAGUCCUCAAAACCUCGGCUUUGGGGAUCAAAGGUGACCUCUUCAUGAAAGUUGCCGUUUAGGGAUGGGCCCGCGUACCAUUAGCUUGUUGGUGGGGUAAUGGCCUACCAAGGCGACGAUGGUUAGCUGGUCUGAGAGGAUGAUCAGCCACACUGGAACUGAAACACGGUCCAGACUCCUACGGGAGGCAGCAGUGAGGAAUCUUGCGCAAUGGGGGAAAGCCUGACGCAGCGACGUCGCGUGGAGGAUGAAGGCCUUCGGGUUGUAAACUCCUGUCAGAGGAGAAGAAUGCCCUUCGGGGUUUGACGGUAUCCUCAGAGGAAGCCCCGGCUAACUACGUGCCAGCAGCCGCGGUAAAACGUAGGGGGCGAACGUUGCUCGGAAUUACUGGGCGUAAAGGGUGCGUAGGUGGCUAAGAAAGUCGAAAAUGAAAUCCCGGGGCUUAACUCCGGAACUGUUUUCGAAACUAUUUAGCUAGAGGAUAGUUGAGGAAAACGGAAUUCCCGGUGGAGCGGUGAAAUGCGUAGAUAUCGGGAAGAACACCUGAGGCGAAGGCGGUUUUCUGGACUACUCCUGACACUGAGGUACGAAAGCUAGGGUAGCAAACGGGAUUAGAUACCCCGGUAGUCCUAGCUGUAAACGCUGGGCACUAGACGUUCCUAUUUUAUAUGGGAGUGUCGUAGUUAACGCGCUAAGUGCCCCGCCUGGGGAUUACAGUCGCAAGGCUGAAACUCAAAGGAAUUGACGGGGGCCCGCACAAGCGGUGGAGCAUGUGGUUUAAUUCGACGCAACGCGAAAAACCUUACCUGGGCUUGAACUGCUAGUAGUAGUGAACCGAAAGGGGAACGAACCUGCUUGCAGGAAGCUAGCAGAGGUGCUGCAUGGCUGUCGUCAGCUCGUGUCGUGAGAUGUUGGGUUAAGUCCCGCAACGAGCGCAACCCCUGCUUUUAGUUGCCAGCGAAUAAUGUCGGGUGCUCUAAGGGGACUGCCCCGGAAAACGGGGAGGAAGGUGGGGAUGACGUCAAGUCAGCAUGGCCUUUAUGUUCAGGGCGACACACGUGCUACAAUGGGCGGUACAGAGGGUUGCAAGACCGCGAGGUGGAGCUAAUCCCUAAAACCGUUCUCAGUUCAGAUCGCAGGCUGCAAUUCGCCUGCGUGAAGUUGGAAUCGCUAGUAAUCGCGGAUCAGCAUUGCCGCGGUGAAUACGUUCCUGGGCCUUGUACACACCGCCCGUCACAUCACGAAAGUUGGUCAUACUCAAAGUCGCUGGGCUAUCCUUCGGGAAGCAGGUGCCUAAAGUGUGGUCGAUGAUUGGGGUGAAGUCGUAACAAGGUAA